ACGGAAGGCAGCAGUGGGGAAUAUUGGUCAAUGGAGGCAACUCUGAUCCAGCCAUCUCGCGUGAAGGAAUACGGCCCUACGGGUCUUAAACUUCUUUUAUAGGGGGAUAAAGUGAGGCAUGCAUGCCUUUUUGUAGGUACCCUAUGAAUAAGCAUCGGCUAACUCCGUGCCAGCAGCCGCGGUAAUACGGAGGAUGCGAGCGUUAUCCGGAUUUAUUGGGUUUAAAGGGUGCGCAGGCGGCACGUUAAGUCAGCGGUGAAAUGUCGGGGCUCAACCCGGGCACUGCCGUUGAAACUGGCGAGCUUGAGUACGGAUGAAGUCGGCGGAAUGUGAUGUGUAGCGGUGAAAUGCUUAGAUAUGUCACAGAACACCGAUUGCGAAGGCAGCUGACUAAUCCGCAACUGACGCUCAGGCACGAAAGCGUGGGGAGCGAACAGGAUUAGAUACCCUGGUA
rnacentral:rRNA from 1 species